UACAGAGGUCCCAAGCGUUGUUCGGAUUCACUGGGCGUAAAGGGUGCGUAGGUGGUGAGGUAAGUCGGAUGUGAAAUCUCCGAGCUCAACUCGGAAACUGCAUUGGAAACUACCUUGCUCGAGGGUUGGAGGGGGGACUGGAAUGCUUGGUGUAGCAGUGAAAUGCGUAGAUAUCAAGCGGAACACCAGUGGCGAAGGCGGGUCUCUGGGCAAUAACUGACGCUGAGGAGCGAAAGCGUGGGGAGCGAACAGG
rnacentral:rRNA from 1 species